rnacentral:rRNA from 1 species
UGUGUAGGCGGCUUUCUAAGUUUGUUGUGAAAUCUCCCGGCUUAACCGGGAGGGUGCGGCGAAGACUGGAAGGCUAGAGUAUGGGAUGGGAGAGUGGAAUUCCUGGUGUAGCGGUGAAAUGCGUAGAUAUCAGGAGGAACACCUGCGGUGUAGACGGCUCUCUGGACCAUUACUGACGCUGAGACACGAAAGCGUGGGUAGCAAACAGGAUUAGAUACCCUGGUAGUCCACGCCCUAAACGAUGCAUAUUUGGUGUGGGCCAUUCAUUUGGUCUGUGCCGGAGCUAACGCGUUAAAUAUGCCGCCUGGGAAGUACAGUCGCAAGGCUGAA